rnacentral:rRNA from 1 species
UACAGAGGAGCCAAGCGUUGUCCGGAUUGACUGGGCGUAAAGCGCACGCAGGCGGUCGCGCGCGUGGGGUGUGAAAUCUGGCCGCUUAACGGCCAGGCGCCAUUCCAUACGGCGCGACUGGAGUGAUGCAGAGGUCGAUGGAAUUGCCGGUGUAGUGGUGAAAUGCGUAGAGAUCGGCGGGAACACCCAGGGGGAAACCAGUCGACUGGGCAUCUACUGACGCUGAGGUGCGAGAGCGUGGGGAGCGAACCGG